rnacentral:lncRNA from 1 species
UUGCCGACCCAACAUCUAUCACGCCUUGAAUCUGAACAAAAUCCACAUCAUUCCAACCUAACUUUAAUUUCACUUCCUCUAACAAUUGGGCCAAUGUGGGCGAUUCACCAAAAAUCAACAAUUGCUCACUCAUUUUCUCAAAUUUGACACUAUCAUCUCUUGUCCUAACAACACGGCCUCCAUGAUGCAACCUCACUAAUUUAUCCAUCUACAACCAUCACACAUCGAAAUAUUGUCAUAUAUAUAUAUAUAUAUCAUCAUAUAAAUAUCUACUUCAUUAAAAACAAAUAAAAAAACUAAGAAACCCUAACACAAUGAUAAAAGCAAUACCUAUUAAGGUUUGAACAUAAAAACAUACUAAUUAACGUUCUCCACAACACCAAAACAUCAAUCAAACUCAUACAAACCCUAACACAAUGACCAAAUGAACAACCGCCACCUUCAUCCUAGGAUUUCCAACGAAAACAAGCAAUGCAGCAAAAUCUACACGGAUAGAAUGGAAGACGGGAAGGAGUAUUACCUCGGGACCAACUUGAAGGGGCUGAUUUGGGCCCCUAGCCACUCCCUAAUGGCUAGGGUUUGAGGGGGCGGCGGGGUAAAGAGAGAGAGAGGUGGGAAGAGGAAAGACUGAAUGG